rnacentral:rRNA from 1 species
UGGGUAGCGUAACGCGUAUCGCAACCUACCUUAGUACAGGGGAAUAACCUUUCGAAAGGGAGACUAACACCCCAUAGUAUUGAUUUAAGGCAUCUUAGAUUAAUUAAAUAUUUAUAGGUAUAAGAUGGGCAUGCGUAUGAUUAGCUAGUUGGAAGGUAACGGCUUACCAAGGCGACGAUCAUUAGGGGUUCUGAGAGGAAGGUCCCCCACACUGGUACUGAGACACGGACCAGACUCCUACGGGAGGCAGCAGUGAGGAAUAUUGGUCAAUGGGCGCAAGCCUGAACCAGCCAUGCCGCGUGCAGGAAGACGGCCUUAUGGGUUGUUAAACUGCUUUUACAUAAGACUAACCGUAUACUUGCGUAAUAUACCUGAAUGUAUUAUGAGAAUAAGGAUCGGUCUAACUCCGUGCCAGCCGCCGC